rnacentral:rRNA from 1 species
UACGUAGGGUGCAAGCGUUAUCCGGAAUUAUUGGGCGUAAAGGGCUCGUAGGCGGUUCGUCGCGUCCGGUGUGAAAGUCCAUCGCUUAACGGUGGAUCCGCGCCGGGUACGGGCGGGCUUGAGUGCGGUAGGGGAGACUGGAAUUCCCGGUGUAACGGUGGAAUGUGUAGAUAUCGGGAAGAACACCAAUGGCGAAGGCAGGUCUCUGGGCCGUUACUGACGCUGAGGAGCGAAAGCGUGGGGAGCGAACAGGAUUAGAUACCCUGGUAGUCCACGCCGUAAACGGUGGAUGCUGGAUGUGGGGCCCGUUCCACGGGUUCCGUGUCGGAGCUAACGCGUUAAGCAUCCCGCCUGGGGAGUACGGCCGCAAGGCUAAAACUCAAAGAAAUUGACGGGGGCCCGCACAAGCGGCGGAGCAUGCGGAUUAAUUCGAUGCAACGCGAAGAACCUUACCUGGGCUUGACAUGUUCCCGACGGUCGUAGAGAUACGGCUUCCCUUCGGGGCGGGUUCACAGGUGGUGCAUGGUC